rnacentral:lncRNA from 1 species
AAGGAUACAAUAUUUUUAAGAUGAGGGAAAAUAAAUCAGUGCUUCAAUGUUUUGUUUACCUGUGCAUCAUGGAUAACCAACUUGUUGGUUUUUGUGAUCCAUUAUUGAGCAUCACCAAAUUAUGAAGAUCAUAGAAGAUCUUCCUAACUCAUGGAAGCAUUUAAGAACUUGCAAUAUAAUUGGAAUGACCGUAUUUCAGAUGACCUACGAGAACACUUAAAGAUGAAGGAAAUGAUAAGGGAUAAGGAUAUAGGGCUAAGGAGACGAAUAAGAGGGUCAGAAACCAGUCCUAUCUAGCAAUGGCUAACAAGAACAAAAAGGUGGGGCCUAACAAGAAAUUUAAGAAGCCUCCCUCAAGGACAAAC